rnacentral:pre_miRNA from 1 species
AUACUACUCCCUCCGUUCGGAAUUACUUGUCACAAAAAUGGAUAAAAAUGGAUGUAUCUACAACUAAAAUACAUCUAAAUACAUUCAUUUCUUGGACGAGUAAUUCCGAACGGAGGGAGUAGCUU